UGGGGAGUCGCCAAGUGGUAAGGCAUCGGAUUUUGAUUCCGACAUUCGCAGGUUCGAUCCCUGCCUCCCCAGCCA
rnacentral:tRNA from 8 species